AUUGAACGCUGGCGGCAGGCCUAACACAUGCAAGUCGAACGGUAGCACAGAGAGCUUGCUCUCGGGUGACGAGUGGCGGACGGGUGAGUAAUGUCUGGGAAACUGCCCGAUGGAGGGGGAUAACUACUGGAAACGGUAGCUAAUACCGCAUAACGUCGCAAGACCAAAGUGGGGGACCUUCGGGCCUCACACCAUCGGAUGUGCCCAGAUGGGAUUAGCUGGUAGGUGGGAUAAUGGCUCACCUAGGCGACGAUCCCUAGCUGGUCUGAGAGGAUGACCAGCCACACGGGAACUGAGACACGGUCCAGACUCCUACGGGAGGCAGCAGUGGGGAAUAUUGCACAAUGGGCGCAAGCCUGAUGCAGCCAUGCCGCGUGUAUGAAGAAGGCCUUCGGGUUGUAAAGUACUUUCAGCGGGGAGGAAGGCGGUGAAGUUAAUAGCUUCACCGAUUGACGUUACCCGCAGAAGAAGCACCGGCUAACUCCGUGCCAGCAGCCGCCGUAA
rnacentral:rRNA from 1 species